UAAUAACCAGCAAGGAAACCAUAGAGAAGGAGGGAAAAAGGAGAGAAGUUUAGGUGCUUAAGUGGUAAGUGAUAGGAAUUGAAAACUAGGCUAGGUAAACAUAGUCUUUCAUGUUUUCAAUAAAUUAUAUGUUGUUAAAUGAAUUAAAACUCAUGUUUUUCUUAUUCUUUGUAAAGAACAAACUCAAAAGGAGGAAGGUACAUCAAAGGGGAAAGGCAAGGAAAGAGAGUAACUAAGGUGUACCUAAAGCUUU
rnacentral:lncRNA from 1 species